GAUCAUUACCGAGUGAGGGCCCUCUGGGUCCAACCUCCCACCCGUGUUUAUUUUACCUUGUUGCUUCGGCGGGCCCGCCUUAACUGGCCGCCGGGGGGCUUACGCCCCCGGGCCCGCGCCCGCCGAAGACACCCUCGAACUCUGUCUGAAGAUUGUAGUCUGAGUGAAAAUAUAAAUUAUUUAAAACUUUCAACAACGGAUCUCUUGGUUCCGGCAUCGAUGAAGAACGCAGCGAAAUGCGAUACGUAAUGUGAAUUGCAAAUUCAGUGAAUCAUCGAGUCUUUGAACGCACAUUGCGCCCCCUGGUAUUCCGGGGGGCAUGCCUGUCCGAGCGUCAUUGCUGCCCUCAAGCACGGCUUGUGUGUUGGGCCCCGUCCUCCGAUCCCGGGGGACGGGCCCGAAAGGCAGCGGCGGCACCGCGUCCGGUCCUCGAGCGUAUGGGGCUUUGUCACCCGCUCUGUAGGCCCGGCCGGCGCUUGCCGAUCAACCCAAAUUUUUAUCCAGGUUGACCUCGGAUCAGGUAGGGAUACCCGCUGAACUUAAGCAUAUCAAUAAGCGGAGGAAAAGAAACCAACAGGGAUUGCCCCAGUAACGGCGAGUGAAGCGGCAAGAGCUCAAAUUUGAAAGCUGGCUCCUUCGGGGUCCGCAUUGUAAUUUGUAGAGGAUGCUUCGGGAGCGGUCCCCAUCUAAGUGCCCUGGAACGGGACGUCAUAGAGGGUGAGAAUCCCGUAUGGGAUGGGGUGUCCGCGCCCGUGUGAAGCUCCUUCGACGAGUCGAGUUGUUUGGGAAUGCAGCUCUAAAUGGGUGGUAAAUUUCAUCUAAAGCUAAAUAUUGGCCGGAGACCGAUAGCGCACAAGUAGAGUGAUCGAAAGAUGAAAAGCACUUUGAAAAGAGAGUUAAAAAGCACGUGAAAUUGUUGAAAGGGAAGCGCUUGCGACCAGACUCGCUCGCGGGGUUCAGCCGGCAUUCGUGCCGGUGUACUUCCCCGCGGGCGGGCCAGCGUCGGUUUGGGCGGUCGGUCAAAGGCCCUCGGAAGGUAACGCCCCUAGGGGCGUCUUAUAGCCGAGGGUGCAAUGCGACCUGCCUAGACCGAGGAACGCGCU
rnacentral:rRNA from 1 species